rnacentral:rRNA from 1 species
UACGGAGGGUGCAAGCGUUAAUCGGAAUUAUUGGGCGUAAAGCGCGCGUAGGCGGCUUGUUAAGUCGAAUGUGAAAUCCCCGGGCUCAACCUGGGAACUGCAUCCGAUACUGGCUGGCUAGAGUGUGGUAGAGGGAAGUGGAAUUCCAGGUGUAGCGGUGAAAUGCGUAGAUAUCUGGAGGAACACCGAUGGCGAAGGCAGAUCUCUGGGCCGUAACUGACGCUGAGGAGCGAAAGCGUGGGGAGCGAACAGGAUUAGAAACCCUUGUAGU